CUGAACAUGUCUGACCGGUUUAGCUUGUUUCUUGUAAUGUCGGGUUGAGUUUGUUAAACACGAAGGCGCGGUAUAAAAGGCCGCUUCGCAGGGAAACAUCGGCUCAUUUGUCAAUCAAUCGCCGUGGAGUAAGGAUCAAAUUCAAGAUGGCGGCAAAAGUCAAGUACAAAAUGCAGAGGGGAGAGGUUUCAAAGCGCUUCCUGAUGUAUAAAAAUGCCAACUCUACCUCUAGUCCGAUAGAAUGUGUAAAAAAGGAAACUCAGUAGAAAUAAACCUACGAAACCAUCGUGAUUUUCGCAAAAAAAAAAAAAACGAGCAAACGCAUGACCAGAAAACAACGAUUUCAAACCUCGAAAAAAAGCUAUACCCAAGAAGCAAGUCAUGGUGACAUCUGAAUAAUCAACAAGAUAUAUUCUUCAAGAAAAAGCAGAUACAUAGACAUAUACAGUAUUACAUUUUCCCUGUGAUUUUAAAUCAUAAACAUUUCUUUAUAAAGGAAACAAGUUCCGUUGCUAUCAAAUUGAUUUAUGUGUUACUGAAUUGUUUAGCCACCAUUCAUAUUUUAUAAAUUGCAUUAUAAAUUAUACUUUUGAAUAAACCAAAAUGCCUUGUCUUUUAUCCAUUCAUUCUUACAGUAAAAGCAAGUUUAGAUACAGGGAGGAUAUCCAUUGAAUGAAAACAGUAAAAGUUAUGUCUCUAUUAUGUAUAAUUUAACUUAUAAAGUAUAAAACAUAUAAUAAAACUAAGGAUCCAGACCCUUUUUCAACAAAAUAAAACACAUAGCUAAUUCAAUUGUUAUCAUUUGUAGUCAUCAUAGAUUGCAAGAUAAAAACAAAAUACUAUACAGGUGUAUUCUGAUCCAAAAAGUAGAAAGAUAGACUCAAUUAUGGCUCCAACUCACUUAGAUGGAUAUCAGGCAUUUCUUUAGUAGCCCUUCAGUUGUUUGGUGUUCAUAUAUGUGUAAGUAUACAAGCUGAGACAUUGUACAAAGGGUUAUCUGCUGUUUCUGUGAGCCAGUUGUGCACUAUAAAAAAAUAUCGAAACAAAUGUUUUCUUUUAUUGUAUACCACUCCCUUGUUUUGUACAGACAAAUAGUAAGUGUUGCAUUUUAUUGGGACGUAACUAAGCCCUACUUUUAACCCUAAAUCUGAUAAAUUAGCACGAGGGCACAAUGGUCUAAUGACCAAGUGCUCUACAAGAAAUUAAGUUGACUGCACUAUACUCCCUAUUCAAACUCUGUUGAGUAUACUUAUAAAUGACAGACAGGGUGAGGGUAAGUUGACAAAUUUCCUUAGCCUUUCUUUAUUUUCUGGAUUAAGAAGUCUGGUACUAACAGCAGAAUGGCACCAGAGAAAGGACCCAAGGUAAUGACCACCCUAGAUAAUGUAAUAUCAGAGUUUCACUUGCACAUUCCCUGGAUGCCGCUGAAAUAUCUUAUGAAACUGGGGUCAUUCGCCGAAGCCUGAUCAUGGUAAACAUGUAUUGAUCAACUAUUAAAUUUGGUAAAAAAAAAACUCAAAAAGUAGAAGUCAACUGGGGUUCAACAUUCCCUGACCUGCCCACUACACCAAAUUUUCUUCCUGCUUAGGUAAAUGUCAAAACACUGGAUUUUUGGUUAAUUCUUAAACAUAUGUACAACACCAGGGCAAACUUUGCAUUUUUGUUUUACACCUGUUGCAGCGACAAGUAGAAAAAAUAAUGGUUUCACUAGAAUAAGUUUUACUGAAGUGUCCUCUUACACUACAGCUGUAAAGUGACUUAUAAAUAAUAAAAUAUAUAUGAUGUA